GAGUUUGAUCCUGGCUCAGGACGGACGCUGGCGGCGUGCCUAAUACAUGCAAGUAGAACGCUGAAGACUUUAGCUUGCUAAAGUUGGAAGAGUUGCGAACGGGUGAGUAACGCGUAGGUAACCUGCCUACUAGCGGGGGAUAACUAUUGGAAACGAUAGCUAAUACCGCAUAACAGCAUUUAACCCAUGUUAGAUGCUUGAAAGGAGCAAUUGCUUCACUAGUAGAUGGACCUGCGUUGUAUUAGCUAGUUGGUGAGGUAACGGCUCACCAAGGCGACGAUACAUAGCCGACCUGAGAGGGUGAUCGGCCACACUGGGACUGAGACACGGCCCAGACUCCUACGGGAGGCAGCAGUAGGGAAUCUUCGGCAAUGGGGGCAACCCUGACCGAGCAACGCCGCGUGAGUGAAGAAGGUUUUCGGAUCGUAAAGCUCUGUUGUAAGAGAAGAACGUGUGUGAGAGUGGAAAGUUCACACAGUGACGGUAACUUACCAGAAAGGGACGGCUAACUACGUGCCAGCAGCCGCGGUAAUACGUAGGUCCCGAGCGUUGUCCGGAUUUAUUGGGCGUAAAGCGAGCGCAGGCGGUUUAAUAAGUCUGAAGUUAAAGGCAGUGGCUUAACCAUUGUUCGCUUUGGAAACUGUUAGACUUGAGUGCAGAAGGGGAGAGUGGAAUUCCAUGUGUAGCGGUGAAAUGCGUAGA
rnacentral:rRNA from 1 species